rnacentral:pre_miRNA from 1 species
AAAAAGACAAACCCUGAUUUUCGUGCCCAACAUUUAACCGUCCGUCUUAUUUGAAAAAAUUAUAAAAAAAUUAAAAAGAUAAGUCACGCAUAAAAUAUUAAUCAUGUUUUAUCAUCUAACAACAAUAAAAAUACGAAUUAUAAAAAAAUUUCAUAUAAGACGAACGGUCAAAGUUGGACACGCAAACCCAGGGUUUGCCUUUUU